rnacentral:piRNA from 1 species
UAUUUGGUCACCUCAUAGUUAUCCUCUGC